AUUGGUUUGUAUCCUGACCAGAACCGUUUCACCUCACCAAUCAGGGUCUUGUUUUCUAAUUACAGACACUUCAAGUCAGCCAUUGAAUUGACUUUAAUUCUCUAAAGAAGAAGAAGAAGAAGAAGAAGAAGAAGGAAAACAACCUCGAUCUACGAGGCCACAUCAGAAACCAUUUCCCGCCCAAGAAAUAUAUGCAAAAACGUUGCAAAAUACACUAUUUUUCUUUCUCUUUCUCUCUCUUUUUUUCCCCUCCCCAAAACGAAUUAGAGCUUGGACGUGUAAUUCAAUUAAGGACGAAAAGCGGGAAGCGGGAAGCGAGAAGCGGGAAGUUUCGACAGUGGUCGUUAAAACACGGCCAAUAGAAGUUUUUUUUUCCAGGUUUAUAUAAUGCGGACUUUAAAAAAAAAAAACCAAUGAACAUUUCAAUUAAUAUUACUUGACAGAUUAUUUCUGUGUUCCGCCCCUGGUGCCACAGCGUUUGCUGUUGUUUACCGCAGAGCAGCGGGCCCGUGCCUCCGUGCCUGUGCGCGCGCGCGGCCUGUUAUCGUUCUAAUCGCCGUGUCAUCUUCAUUAGUAAAGUCAUUAUGAAGCGCUAAUGAGCGCUUUAAAGGUACAAUCCUCGAAGAAUCCAACACUUUCUCUCUUUUCGUGCUGUCGCUCCCUUGAUGAAGAUUCAUGAUGAUGCAGAUCAUAAAUUGAAGAGAGGAGGGAAACAAGAACGCACGGAGGUACGUACGGAGUAGUAGGUGUAAGGCGGGAAGCAGGAGGGGCCAGGAGCAGGAGCAGAAACAGGAGAAGGAGCCGCAGCCGUGCUACUGAUGCCGACUCUCUGCGGGAUGAUUUUGUCUCAAAGAAAACGUGUGCGUUUGGAAGCGUGUUUGUGCGUGCGUGCGUGCGGGUGCAUCGGCCGAAUCCAGGCAGAGUUUAACCACAGGGCGGCGGCAAAGACGGCCUGCAGGAGGAGGAAAGAGAGGCCUCGGCUGUUUCCUCCUCCUCCUCCUCCUCCUCACAUCACAUCGCAUUCGACUGAUAAAGCUCAAGUUCACGCCGCAAAUACACGCGAGUUACCGGUGAGAUUUUAAUCACGCUGUGUGUGUGUGUGUGUGUAGAAAUACACAGUCACGGGAG